rnacentral:miRNA from 1 species
GAAGUUCUGUUUUACACUCCGGCU